rnacentral:lncRNA from 1 species
UUUUUUUUAUCAGAAAAAGAUAAUAUUAUAUAUUAAUAUGGGGUACCAGAGAUACCGAAAGUUACAAAAUAAGAUGAGAGAUGCUUUUUGUCAUCCAAUCGUGAAAAUUUACUUCGCCCUCCAACAAGUCGAAGAUUUUGCUCCAACUCCACAAUCUAGCUUUAAGACCUCCUACCAUCUUAUCAAUCUCCCAAUUCUUCAUCUCGAAUCUACUUUCAUUCCUCCCUUUCCAAAUAAGCCAAAUGGUGCAUGCCCAAAGAACCGAGAGGAACUUCGAACUGAUCUUCCUCGUCCCAAGGUUUGAGAAGGCUUCAAAGUGUGCUUCGAGGUUGUCGGGUCGAACUGAGGCAACUCCCACCCAUUUUUGGAUUUCAUUCCACACCAUUUCUGUCUUCGGGCAUCGGAGGAAAAGAUGUUGAGCUGAUUCCUCCUUCUGACAGCAUGCAUUACACGAAACUUCCUCUUCGCCAAGUGGAAUCCUCCUUU